rnacentral:rRNA from 1 species
AACGAACGCUGGCGGCAUGCCUAACACAUGCAAGUCGAACGAGACCUUCGGGUCUAGUGGCGCACGGGUGCGUAACGCGUGGGAAUCUGCCCCUCGGUUCGGAAUAACACAGAGAAAUUUGUGCUAAUACCGGAUAAUGACUUCGGUCCAAAGAUUUAUCGCCGAGGGAUGAGCCCGCGUAAGAUUAGCUUGUUGGUGGGGUAAUGGCCUACCAAGGCGACGAUCUUUAGCUGGUCUGAGAGGAUGAUCAGCCACACUGGGACUGAGACACGGCCCAGACUCCUACGGGAGGCAGCAGUGGGGAAUAUUGGACAAUGGGCGAAAGCCUGAUCCAGCAAUGCCGCGUGAGUGAUGAAGGCCUUAGGGUUGUAAAGCUCUUUUACCAGGGAGGGACGAAUGGCGCCGUGAAGAGCGGCGAGUGACGGUACCUCCUUAGCAAGCACCGGCUAACUUCGUGCCAGCAGCCGCGGUAAUGUAGUCG